UUGACCUCGGAUCAGGUAGGGAUACCCGCUGAACUUAAGCAUAUCAAUAAGCGGAGGAAAAGAAACCAACAGGGAUUACCUCAGUAACGGCGAGUGAAGCGGUAAGAGCUCAAAUUUGAAAGCUGGCUCCUUCGGGGUCCGCAUUGUAAUUUGCAGAGGAUGUUUCGGGAGCAGCCCCCAUCUAAGUGUCCUGGAACGGACCGUCAUAGAG
rnacentral:rRNA from 3 species